CCCAUCGAUGAUGAUGAGCUGAUCUCCUACAUCACCUCCGGCCUCGACAUGGAGUACCAACCUCUCGUCUCCGCCAACGAUGCCCGCACCGAGCCCAUCAGCAUCGAUGAUCUCUACGCCCAGAUGAGUAACUUCGAUC
rfam:Triticum aestivum genome assembly, contig: Triticum_aestivum_CS42_TGACv1_scaffold_578613_7BL